AAUGGACGAAAGUCUGACGGAGCAACGCCGCGUGAGUGAAGAAGGUUUUCGGAUCGUAAAACUCUGUUUUCAGGGACGAAUGUGCGAUAUGUGAAUAAUGUGUUGUAAUGACGGUACCUGACAAGAAAGCCACGGCUAACUACGUGCCAGCAGCCGCGGUAAUACGUAGGUGGCAAGCGUUGUCCGGAAUUAUUGGGCGUAGAGCGCGCGCAGGUGGGAUAAUAAGUCUGAUGUUAAAGUUCGGGGCUCAACCCCGUGAAGCAUUUGGAUACUGUUAUUCUUGAGUGCAGGAGAGGAAAGUGGAAUUCCUAGUGUAGCGGUGAAAUGCGUAGAUAUUAGGAGGAACACCAGUGGCGAAGGCGACUUUCUGGACUGUGUCUGACACUGAGGCGCGAAAGCCAGGGUAGUGAACGGGAUUAGAUACCCCGGUAAUCCUGGCCGUAAACGAUGGGUACUAGGUGUUGGGGGUAUCGACCCCUCCAGUGCCGGAGUUAACGCAAUAAGUACCCCGCCUGGUGAGUACG
rnacentral:rRNA from 1 species